rnacentral:rRNA from 1 species
AGUGAACGCUGGCGGUAGGCCUAACACAUGCAAGUCGAACGGCAGCACAGUAAGAGCUUGCUCUUACGGGUGGCGAGUGGCGGACGGGUGAGGAAUACAUCGGAAUCUACUUUUUCGUGGGGGAUAACGUAGGGAAACUUACGCUAAUACCGCAUACGACCUACGGGUGAAAGCAGGGGAUCUUCGGACCUUGCGCGAUUGAAUGAGCCGAUGUCGGAUUAGCUAGUUGGCGGGGUAGAGGCCCACCAAGGCGAGGAUGGGUAGCUGGUCUGAGAGGGUGACCGGACAAAGUGGGACUGAGAUACGGACCAGACUCCUAGGGGAGGCAGCAGUGGGGAAUAUUGCACAAUGGGCGGAAGCGUGAUGCAGCAACGCCGAGUGCGGGAUGACGGCCUUCGGGUUGUAAACAGCUUUCGCCUGUGACGAAGCGUGAGUGACGGUAAUGGGUAAAGAAGCACCGGCUAACUACGUG